GUUGCUGGUCCCACCUGUCUGCCCUAUUCUGGCUGGUUUUGACUGUGCAUUACAACACGCUCCUGCAUAUUGGAUUGUGGUGAUGUAUUUGUAGAUUUAUCAGACAUUAGUAUUACACCUACAAAAAAACAAGUCCUGCGCUCAAACUCCCAUCACUCCUGGGCGGCGGCAACGACCAUGUGUUCCUUAUUAAGGGUUAAUACGCAUGUAGGGGUAUAUAUAACUAAAAUACCCCUUUCUGUCUCGUUAGAGAUAUUUUCGACAGAAGUUCAAGGAAG